rnacentral:misc_RNA from 1 species
AACGCACAUUGCGCCCGCUAGUAUUCUGGCGGGCAUGCCUGUUCGAGCGUCAUUUCAACCAUCAAGCCCCAGGCUUGUGUUGGAGCCCUGCGGCUGCCGCAGCCUCCCAAAACCAGUGGCAGGCUCGCUAUCACACCGAGUGCAGUAGUUUACUCUUCGCUCAGGGCGUGUGGCGGGUGCUAGCCGUGAAACCCCCAACUUCUCAAGGUUGACCUCGGAUCAGGUAGGAAUACCCGCUGAACUUAA